UCGCCAACCAGGAGAUUAGAAUGAUAGGAUCUGCUCCUGCCACUUUAAGGAUGGUAAGAAAGAGGGGGACCCUGCAUAUUUUGCAUGGAAUGAGGGAAAGCCCAUGGAUUUCUCGGAUCCUGAAUGCACAAAAAGGAGGAAAAAACUCAAAAGUGAGGAGUCCCUGUAAUCUUCACAGAUGGACCAGUUACAGAUUCCUCAAGCACCAAAUUGUCAAGAUCAAGAAAAAUUGAUAGCAGAGCACAACUACUCAGCAUCCUGCACAUUUAACUGUACUCAAGAAAUGCAGCACCUCUCAACAGAAAUACAACAACUGGAAAAGGAAUUGCUUGCCCUAAAAAUAGAGUCUAGUAAAAGGAAGCCAAUGUCAAUUCACGAUAUUAAAGACAGUGAAGAGAAGGU